rnacentral:rRNA from 2 species
UGGGGAAUAUUGGACAAUGGGCGGAAGCCUGAUCCAGCCAUGCCGCGUGUGUGAAGAAGGCCUUUUGGUUGUAAAGCACUUUAAGCGAGGAGGAGGCUACUUGGAUUAAUACUCUAGGAUAGUGGACAUUACUCGCAGAAUAAGCACCGGCUAACUCUGUGCCAGCAGCCGCGGUAAUACAGAGGGUGCGAGCGUUAAUCGGAUUUACUGGGCGUAAAGCGUGCGUAGGCGGCUUCUUAAGUCGGAUGUGAAAUCCCUGAGCUUAACUUAGGAAUUGCAUUCGAUACUGGGAAGCUAGAGUAUGGGAGAGGAUGGUAGAAUUCCAGGUGUAGCGGUGAAAUGCGUAGAGAUCUGGAGGAAUACCGAUGGCGAAGGCAGCCAUCUGGCCUAAUACUGACGCUGAGGUACGAAAGCAUGGGGAGCAAACAGG